UUGUCUGAUUUUGGUAGUCUGUGGGAAAACAAGAAUAUCUCUUAAACUAUUGGGAAUCCUUGAGUGAAUCAUGUUGGAUUAUAAAUUGACUUCUUUGGGUAAAUAUGAGUUAUUAAUAGUUACGCUAUUUAUAUUACGCAUAAAGACGAAGGAACCUAUAGUGCGUUUUGGAGACAAAGGAGUGAACCUAGAAGGUAGAGAAGUAUCAAGGUGAAAUAUGCUUAUGUUCAUAAGCCUAAGAGGUUAGAGUUGAUAGUAUGUCAGUGUGGUUGGGCAGCUUUGCAAUUUUUGGCGGGUCACUGGUGAUCAACAUGGUUAAAAGUCGUGGCAUGUUGUAUAAUAGUUCAAUCUUUGAUCUUUCGCUGGAUAAAUGUUAAGUUUUUAAUUGUAAUAGUUUUUAAUUGCUCUUUU